CAAUUCAAAAAAGUCGAGAGAAGCCCAGAGCUCUCGACCCGUUUACACGACCUGACGAACUGCGUAGUGAUCGACCGGAACCUCUCCAUUCGGCGACGAUAGGGCGGCGCACCGGUACCGUUCGGUUCGUCUUGACGACGCCGACGUGCCUCUUGUCACGGAUCGUCCAUGCAAGGAGCGAGGAGAGAAAAUCGAGGCUCGAAAGUUUCCAACUUUCUGGCGGUUCCGCAGCAUUUUCCGGCGAUCGUUUGUCGUGCAUGAGGUAUGAAGUGUGACCUGCUCUUCGAGCUCUACAUGUCCGUAUAAUUAGUUUUCGAUUUCGGUUGGGUAUUGACGGAUUGAUGAUUUGUGUUUUUCGGUAUCAUCGGACUUCGUCGGAGUUCACUGUUCACGGCUGCUUUCUUGUGUUUUUGGGUUCAUUCCCGCCAAAAAUUCUCGUCCUAGAACUGGAAUUGGAGCUCGGUUAUGUUCAAUUCAUGGAACGGUUUGGUUGGAGAGCUCGCUGGCGUUCGCUGCUGGGAAUUCCAGUAGAUAACAAGGUGAGCUAUUUCUCCAUGGAGAAUUGAAAUCAGUUUUGUGUUUAUCUUCAAGUCUUCUGCCUGAAAUUAUUGGAAUGGAAGUUUGUUACCCGGCUUGUUAUGUGCCGGGUAAAAUUGUGGAGGAGUGAGCAAAGAAAGGGUUUUUCCCAGCUACUGUGUUCUUCGUCAAAGGAGUGAACCCCAUCUGUUUUAGUCUUGUUUGGAGUCGAGUUCAUGAGUGGAAGGCCGCAAGAAGGGACUUUGUGGAGCUGGACCAAACUUGGGUGUGGAACUCUAGAAUGAGAGUGGUUACUAUGAUUUUCACCAGAGGGGCUCCAGUUACCCAAAAUGGGAAAGGUGGUGAUGUUGGCCUAGAAAAGCGAAUGGAGUCAAAGUUGCGAUAUUGCAGUUUGUGGAUGCAGGUACUGUGUACGAAGACGGGACAGUUGGACAAUGCUAAAUGUGGCUUAAUUACCCUGUACUUCAAUUGUGUCAUCGACGGAGUUAGAUCUGCGUGACAGGUCUAUUCUGGUAACUUCCUUAUUCGCAAAUGACUCUUAUCAGAUGAAAGCCCCUCUUAUCAAUAAUGAAGUUUAGCAGGCUUCAGACUGGUGGCCAUGUAAGUCUAGCCGUAAGUUCAGACUGGUGGGCCUUUUACCACAAGCAACCUAACAGUGGGCA